rnacentral:tRNA from 1 species
GUGCCCGUAGUUCAGGGGUAGAGCGCCAGAUUGUGGAUCUGGUUGUCGAGGGUUCAAAUCCCUUCGGGCACCCGA